GUGCUUGCUUUGGCAGCACAUAUACUAAAAUAGGAAAGAUACAGAGAAGAUUGGCAUGGCCCCUGCAAAAGGAUGACAUGCAAAUUAGUGAAGUUUUCCAUAUUAAA
rnacentral:snRNA from 1 species